rnacentral:rRNA from 1 species
UACGGAAGGCAGCAGUGGGGAAUAUUGCACAAUGGGCGCAAGCCUGAUGUAGCCAUGCCGCGUGUAUGAAAAAGGCCUUCGGGUUGUAAAGUACUUUCAGUCGUGAGGAAGGUGUUAAGGUUAAUAACCUUAGCAAUUGACGUUAGCGACAGAAGAAGCACCGGCUAACUCCGUGCCAGCAGCCGCGGUAAUACGGAGGGUGCGAGCGUUAAUCGGAAUUACUGGGCGUAAAGGGCACGCAGGCGGUUAAUUAAGUUGGAUGUGAAAUCCCCGGGCUUAACCUGGGAAUGGCAUUCAAGACUGGUUAGCUAGAGUCUUGUAGAGGGGGUAGAAUUCCAUGUGUAGCGGUGAAAUGCGUAGAGAUGUGGAGGAAUACCGGUGGCGAAGGCGGCCCCUGGGACAAGACUGACGCUCAUGUGCGAAAGCGUGGGGAGCGAAACAGGAUUAGAUAC